rnacentral:rRNA from 1 species
UACGAGGGGAGCGAGCGUUGUUCGGAAUUACUGGGCUUAAAGCGUGCGUAGGCGGUUAUGAAAGUCAGAAGUGAAAGCCCAGGGCUCAACCCUGGAAUUGCUUUUGAAACUCCAUGACUAGAGACCUGGAGGGGUUGGCGGAAUUCCGAGUGUAGAGGUAGAAUUCGCAGAUAUUCGGAGGAACACCAGUGGCGUAGGCGGCCAACUGGACAGGUACUGACGCUGAGGCACGAAAGCGUGGGGAGCAAACAGG